AUACGGAGGAUACGAGCGUUAUCCGGAUUUAUUGGGUUUAAAGGGAGCGUAGGUGGACAGUUAAGUCAGUUGUGAAAGUUUGCGGCUCAACCGUAAAAUUGCAGUUGAUACUGGCUGUCUUGAGUACAGUAGAGGUGGGCGGGAUUCGUGGUGUAGCGGUGGAAUGCUUAGAUAAAACGAAGAACUCCGAUUGCGAAGGCAGCUCACUGGAAUGCAACUGACUCUGAUGCUCAAAAGUGUGGGUAUCAAACAGGAUUAGAUACCCUGGUAGUCCACACAGUAAACGAUGAAUACUCGCUGUUUGCGAUAUACAGGAAGCGGCCAAGCGAAAGCAUUAAGUAUUCCCCCUGGGGAGUACGCCGGCAACGGUGAAACUCAAAGGAAUUGACGGGG
rnacentral:rRNA from 1 species